UACGUAGGGGGCGAGCGUUGUCCGGAUUCAUUGGGCGUAAAGAGCUCGUAGGCGGUUUGGCAAGUCGGAUGUGAAAUCUCUGGGCUCAACUCAGAGAGGCCAUUCGAGACUGCUAUGACUAGAGUCCGGUAGGGGACCAUGGAAUUCCUGGUGUAGCGGUGAAAUGCGCAGAUAUCAGGAGGAACACCCGUGGCUAAGGCGGCUCUCUAGUACGGUACUGACGCUGAGACGCGAAAGCGUGGGGAGCGAACAGG
rnacentral:rRNA from 1 species